ACUACGGGUGGCAGCAGUGGGGAAUAUUGGACAAUGGGGGGAACCCUGAUCCAGCGACGCCGCGUGAGUGAAGAAGUAUUUCGGUAUGUAAAGCUCUAUCAGCAGGGAAGAAAAUGACGGUACCUGACUAAGAAGCCCCGGCUAACUACGUGCCAGCAGCCGCGGUCAUACGAAGGGGGCAAGCGUUAUCCGGAUUUACUGGGUGUAAAGGGAGCGUAGACGGUGCAGCAAGUCUGAUGUGAAAGGUGGGGGCCCAACCCCGGGACUGCAUUGGAAACUGUUGAACUGGAGUACAGGAGAGGUAAGCGGAAUUCCUAGUGUAGCGGUGAAAUGCGUAGAUAUUAGGAGGAACACCAGUGGCGAAGGCGGCUUACUGGACUGUAACUGACGUUGAGGCUCGAAAGCGUGGGGAGCAAACAGGAUUAGAUACCCCAGUAGUC
rnacentral:rRNA from 1 species